GGGGGCAUAGCUCAGUUGGGAGAGCAGUAGACUGAAGUUCUGUGUAAUCUAAAGGUCCCGCGUUCAAUCCGCGGUGCCCCCA